UACCACCCGGAACACCUGAACACACCCAAUCUCGUCUGAUCUCAGAAGCUAAGCAGGGUCGGGCCUGGUUAGUACUUGGAUUGGAGAUAUGAGUUGCAUGCAUCUUUACUCACUGUGAGAGUUGGAA
rnacentral:rRNA from 1 species